UGAACCUUGAAUCUAAUAUCAGAAAUGGCGCCCUCUACUAUUCCUUCAUCUUCUUCGACCGUUACUUCUAUCAACUCGCCCGAGUUCACCCAAAUGGUUCCCUCCUCUCCACGUCAUUUGAUACCCAAAGGUUUUAGUCAGAAGGAAUUCUAAUAUUCCCUCAUAAUCGCAUGAUUUCUAUACGAAAGGAUAAUUUAUUAGAUGAAUGGGAUCCAUGGAUAGAUGUGAACCAAUCCACGCCCUCUAUUUGUCCCUAAUAUUGUUCAAAAUUUCGAAGGUAUUUUCGGAUUUUGGGCAGAGAUUGGAAACUUUUUGGAAGAUAUAUAUAUGAGGUAAGUUCUAUGUGAUAAAAAGGGGAAUGAGAGAAAAAUCGAGAGAAAAUAAAAAAAGGCCGGAAAAAUCUUAAGUAGCUAAUUAAAAAAUUUCUAUGUUUUGGGAGUCAUCAAUUUUCUUCUAUUCUUUUCUUUCGUCUCCUUCCAUUUUAUUUCAGAAAAGAUAAAAAAAAGGAAAUGGUUUGAGUUUGUUUUCAUUUGAGUUUUACUCCUUUUUUCUAGAGAAGAACUCACUGGUUUGAGUUCUUUUGAAGUUCUGUUUUUCUCAAGAAUGCUUUGAUUUAAAAAUUUCAAGUGGUGGUUGAUUCUGUUUUCAGAGCUCAAAUUUUUGCAGUGUUUCAGUCAAGCUGGUUGAUUCCUAUGCUCUUGCUGUUAUUCGUUUCAAGCUUUGAGUCACCAUUUUAUUUGAGUUGAUUUGGUGAUGCCAUACGCUCUCUUUAGUUGUUGUGAUUGUAAUGUAUGAGAAGCUUGUCGAGACAGAUACAUAUGCUAAGCCUUCUUCAUAGAAUUGUGUGGAUUGUUGAAUUAUAUAAAUUGAUAAAAAAUAAUUAAAAUAGACUAUUUAAUUAUAAAAGUCAAAAAUGGUAUUCAAGAAUAUUGGUUGUCUUGCAUGACAAAAUUGAUUUGUAUAAGUUUGAAUUUUCUUACAUGCCAUGUUUGAUUAUUUUUGUAUGCCAAUGUUGAAUUUUUNNNNNNNNNNNNNNNNNNNNNNNNNNGUAUUCAAGAACAUUGGUUGUCUUGCAUGACAAAAUUGAUUUGUAUAAGUUUGAAUUUUCUUACAUGCCAUGUUUGAUUAUUUUUGUAUGCCAAUAUUGAAUUUUUGGUGUGAGUUUUAAUAUAAAUAGGUUGUAGAACUCAUUUGUAAAAUUAUCCCAAAAACUUGUAUUAGAAAUUACAAAUGUAGUAUUGUAAGCUUUGAGUUUGAGUUAGCAAAUAUAUUUUUCUUUCUCGGUAUUUCAUUUUUCGGUUUCAAAUCCCAAAGUUUAUUUCCGAG
rnacentral:lncRNA from 1 species